AAAACCUGCUAUUCGCUGUCAAACGUGUCUGCGCGCUCCCGACAAUCCAGCCGAGCACUUCAAAAACAGGAGGCGCCACCCGCGCUCCCGCCUCUGCCGGACACGGCGCGCCUCUCGCUUCCCAGAGCAGCGUGGGUUUGUUUCUGCCUGAUAAACCUUGAGGGGCUGAGGACCAGGGGGCGUGUCCGUAACCCACCUUAGUUACUAACGCAGGUGCCAAGGUUGGAACGACGGAGUAAACCAACAGGAAAUAUAAGCUCUGGGAUUCCAUGCAAAACCUUUUGAAGUCUAGGACAAAUUCUUCCAAAAUUGGAUAUUUCACGUGUAAAACACAGCAAACUGGCCUGUACAGCUGACGACUGUAUGAUUGAGGAAGGGCACUGUACCUGUUUAAGGGACGAGCGUCGUGACUGGAUGUCAGGAUUGGGACAAUUUUAGAAGAUGUCACACCCUAGGAACGACCAAAUGGCGCACAUCAGGGCGUCCACCGCCCACCAUGUCAUUUUUGUUCUAGAGGUCAGGCCGGAUUACAUAAUGCUUCUUUAGACCCCGGCCAUUGUUUCAGUAUUGUGGGCUUCCUUUCCUGGUGGAACGACGUGGAUCAACAUUACACACUGUGCUGUUUGUGGGAGUCGCUUCUACGAUGCAGCUUUAGUCACAAAUACAUAAUAGUACAAUUAAAAAUGUAAAUGUUACUGUUAUUUUAUAUAUGUACACAUGUUGUCUUCUUUACAAAUUGGGAAUAACAAUGCCAUGCCAGAUCAGAUGUUCAGGGAUUGUUCUCAGGGUGUUAGUCAAACUCUGCCCCCUCAUGGACAGAUGAAGCAUCUUCACUAUAACUUGUCUUCUAAUAUUAAUCUCAAGGAAUUUGUCAUGAACAAAAUGUCAGAAAUCUGGUAUUACUUCUCGACAUAAUCAUUUCGAAGCAUUCAUAGAAAUGAAACAUUUAUAAUAUAAUUUAUUCUACGGCAAAUACAUAAAGCAAGCCUUCCUUGUAUUUUUUUCUUGUCACUGCAUUAAUCCUUUACAUGUCCCUACACUGUAAAAAAAAAUCUUGGUGAUGUUUUGUCAGUACAUUAUUCCUU